UACGAAGGGGGCAAGCGUUGCUCGGAAUCAUUGGGCGUAAAGCGCACGUAGGCGGUCUGUUAUGUCGGAUGUGAAAGCCCUUGGCUUAACUGAGGAAGUGCAUCCGAAACUGGCAGGCUAGAGUACUAAAGAGGGUCGCGGAAUUCCCGGUGUAGAGGUGAAAUUCGUAGAUAUCGGGAGGAACACCGGUGGCGAAGGCGGCGACCUGGGUAGAUACUGACGCUGAGGUGCGAAAGCGUGGGGAGCAAACAGG
rnacentral:rRNA from 1 species